GAUGAACGCUGGCGGCGUGCCUAAUACAUGCAAGUCGAGCGAACGGACGAGAAGCUUGCUUCUCUGAUGUUAGCGGCGGACGGGUGAGUAACACGUGGAUAACCUACCUAUAAGACUGGGAUAACUUCGGGAAACCGGAGCUAAUACCGGAUAAUAUUUUGAACCGCAUGGUUCAAAAGUGAAAGACGGACUUGCUGUCACUUAUAGAUGGAUCCGCUCUGCAUUAGCUAGUUGGUAAGGUAAGGGCUUACCAAGGCAACGAUGCAUGGCCGACCUGAGAGGGUGCUCGGCCACACUGGAACUGAGCCACGGCCCAGCCUCCUACGGGAGGCAGCAGUAGGGAAUCUUCCGCAAUGGGCGAAAGCCUGACGGAGCAACGCCGCGUGAGUGAUGAAGGUCUUCGGAUCGUAAAACUCUGUUAUUAGGGAAGAACAUAUGUGUAAGUAACUGUGCACAUCUUGACGGUACCUAAUCAGAAAGCCACGGCUAACUACGUG
rnacentral:rRNA from 1 species